UGGGGAAUAUUGGACAAUGGGCGAAAGCCUGAUCCAGCAAUGCCGCGUGAGUGAUGAAGGCCUUAGGGUUGUAAAGCUCUUUUACCAGGGAUGAUAAUGACAGUACCUGGAGAAUAAGCUCCGGCUAACUCCGUGCCAGCAGCCGCGGUAAUACGGAGGGAGCUAGCGUUGUUCGGAAUUACUGGGCGUAAAGCGUACGUAGGCGGUUAUUCAAGUCAGGGGUGAAAGCCUGGAGCUCAACUCCAGAACUGCCCUUGAAACUAGAUAACUAGAAUCUUGGAGAGGUGAGUGGAAUUCCGAGUGUAGAGGUGAAAUUCGUAGAUAUUCGGAAGAACACCAGUGGCGAAGGCGACUCACUGGACAAGUAUUGACGCUGAGGUACGAAAGCGUGGGGAGCAAACAGG
rnacentral:rRNA from 1 species